rnacentral:rRNA from 1 species
CCGCCGGCGACCGGCGCACGGGUGAGUAACACGUAUGCAACCUGGCCGUGACAGAUGGAUAACCGGGAGAAAUCCCGCCUAAUACAGCAUGACGCCGGGAAGGGACAUCCCUUUCCGGCCAAAGGGGGCGACUCCGGUCACGGAUGGGCAUGCGGCGCAUUAGGUAGUUGGUGGGGCAACGGCCCACCAAGCCGACGAUGCGUAGGGGUUCUGAGAGGAAGGACCCCCACAUUGGAACUGAGACACGGUCCAAACUCCUACGGAAGGCAGCAG